GGCCCGCGGGUGGCCACAAAGAACGCCUGAACCCGCGGCGGCAGCUGCUGCGCUGCCCGCGCGGGUCCUUGAGGCGCGCGGCGGGCGGCUCAGCGCCAGACACAAUAGUGGCGCGUCCCUCAGCGCCGCCCGGCCGCUCCCGCCGCAAAGCGGCUCCGGAACGCCUCUCGGUGCCCUGCGGCGGGCCCGAACCGUGCCACAGCAGCACGGCUGUCACCGAGCCCCAAGAGCCGCAGCUCACUCGCCGGGAACACUUGCUUCAUCUGUCUGUCAGGCUGGGAUUUGUGUCUCCAGAUAUAUCCCUGCGAUCCUCACGUAACGUGUUUGAUUUUAGUCCUGCACGUUUUAGUCACCAAAAGCUGCCACCACUCAGUAAACCUUCUGUGCGGCCAAUUUAUUAUUUCAGUGUUAAUAAAUAAAAUACGCCAUCGGGGUUUCUGUGAGGCAAAGGGAAUUUUGGGAUGAAUGCUCCAGAUGCUUCGUGGGGCACAGCUGGAAAAUGAAAUGCCGCUGCCUUCAUAAGGCUGGGAGCUAAAUGGGAAAGGAUUUGGUAUUGAGUUGUCCUGGAAUUAAUGGGUGCAAGACUCUGGGAAUAGGAAUUCCUGAAAAUCCAGUUCACUGCAUUUGCACAUGGACAUUGAAAAUUUUGGUUAUAAUAUGCAAUUUAAGACUGUAUGUACUGCUAUUUUUUUAAAGUGUUGGGUAUUUUUCUUUGAUCUCUUUAUUCGUGGAUCCACACAAUCAAUGACAUUGAAAAGAAGGAAAAAGCCUAGUCUUGAACACCUGGCCCAACCUCAUGGGAGAUGUCUCAUGGCCCUUCCUCACCAAAUCCUUGCCCUUGUUUCCAUCCUGGUUCUUGCUCCCCAAGCUGAUAAUCCAGCAAGAAACUGUUUACUCGACAGGCAGAUUUCCCCCCUCCAUUCCAUCUUAUUGAUCACCAGCACCUGGCAGAGGAAAACCCUGCAGAAUUCCCAGUAAGAGCUGAGACCUUUGCUUGGAGGAAGUGUUGCUGAGCUGUGGGUAAACACCAUCCUGGCAGCUUCCAGCGUGAUGAGUUUGUAAUCAGCAUGUGGGUCUCAGCAUUUCCAUCUCUCAGACAUAAGUAUCCCUGCAUUUUGUGUUUGGGAGCUUUGCAAAAUGAAGGUCAGCUCCGGAGCUGCUGGGUUUGGAGUCACGUUUGUCCAGUCCCCAGGGAAAGGCCUGAGAGGAGAGAAAGUCCCCCCAGCAGAAGAACUUCCACAAAUGGGAACCUUUAAACUCAGAACUGCUCAAGAUGAAGGAAGUCACAUUCCCGACCCUUCCCAUUUGCCCUCUUUGCUCCCCUUUGAUCAGGGAUUUUUGACCAAGCCAAGCCUUGCAACUCUCUCUGGGGAAAAUCCUACAGGGAAGUAGUACUAGUCCUCUACUCCCUUGUCCUAUCGCCAAGCUGAAAAGAAAAAAGGAAAAACUACAGCUUUUUUUUCACCCUCCAAUGCCCUAAAAAUUAUUUCCAAACAAAAUAAAUGUGGCAGGUUGUGGGAAAUGGAUUUGUAAAGAAUUCUCAAAAGCUGUCAGAAAACUCAGUCUUAUAUAUCUGUAUACAAAUACUAAAAUUAAGUGUGCUAACUUAAGAAAGCCAUAGAAUAGAGAUGACAUUGUUAAGAGAGAAAUUAAACUAAAACCAAGUUUCAACAACUUUCAAAAUGUAGCCUUACAAAAAUACUAGAUAUUUUAGAAAACUAGAACUGUGAAAGAUGCGUUGUAGCAACACCACCUAGAGAAAAAACAGAGGUGAUUAGUGCUAGAAGUAAUGGCAACAUUGUGUGGCAAAAACAAAUAAGCUGAAAAACAUUUAUAAAGUAUUGUAACCAAGAAAUAGGUUAGCUUCUGACACGAAUAGCAUUUUUACAUCUCAUCAUCAAGACUGAUAAUGGAAUAAAAUCGUUUAAAAUGCC